UGGCGAGGAAAACUGAAAAAGGUGGAAUAUUUAGAAAUGUCCACUGUAGGACGUGGAAUAUUGCAAGAAAACUGAAAAUCAUGGAAAAUGAGAAACAUCUACUUGACGACUUGAAAAAUGACGAAAUCACUAAAAAACGUGAAAAAUGUGAAAUGCACACUGAAGGACCUGGAAUAUGGCGAGAAACCUGAAAAUCACGGAAAAUGAGAAAUACACACUUUAGGACGUGAAAUAUGGCGAGGAAAACUGAAAAAGGUGGAAAAUUUAGAAAUGUCCACUGUAGGACGUGGAGUAUGGCAAGAAAACUGAAAAUCAUGGAAAAUGAGAAACAUCCACUUGACUACUUGAAAAAUGACGAAAUCACUAAAAAACGUGAAAAAUGAGAAAUGCACACUGAAGGACCUGGAAUAUGGCGAGAAAACUGAAAAUCACGGAAAAUGAGAAAUACACACUUUAGGACGUGAAAUAUGGCGAGGAAAACUGAAAAAGGUGGAAUAUUUAGAAAUGUCCACUGUAGGACGUGAAAUAUGGCAAGAAAACUGAAAAUCAUGGAAAAUGAGAAACAUCCACUUG
rnacentral:lncRNA from 1 species